GCCAGCAGUCAUAUCACUCUGCAACUCACAACUCGCAGCCCACUGAAGCUAAGCAGGUGUGAGCCUGGUCAGUACCUGGAUGGGAGACCUCCUGGGAGAAACUAAGGUUGUUGCUGGAA
rnacentral:rRNA from 1 species